rnacentral:rRNA from 1 species
AGAACGAACGCUGGCGGCAUGCCUAAUACAUGCAAGUCGAACGAACACUUCGGUGUUAGUGGCGCACGGGUGCGUAACGCGUGGGAAUCUGCCCUUGGGUUCGGAAUAACAGUUGGAAACGACUGCUAAUACCGGAUGAUAUCGAAAGAUCAAAGAUUUAUCGCCCAGGGAUGACGCCCGCGUAGGAUUAGCUAGUUGGUGAGGUAAGCUCACAAGGCGACGAUCUAGCUGUCUGAGAGAUGAUCGAGCCACACGUGGACUGACGACGACCGGCCAGACCUCCG